AUUGAACGCUGGCGGCAGGCCUAACACAUGCAAGUAGAACGAGGGGAGGACGGGUGAGUAAUGUCUGGGAAACUGCUCGAUGGAGGGGGAGAACAACUGGAAACGGUAGGUAAUACCGCAUACCAUCGGAUGUGCCCAGAUGGGCUUAGCUAGUAGGGGGGGUAAUGGCUCACCUAGUCGACUCACCCUAGCUGGUCUGAGGGGAUGACCAGCCACACUGGAACGGAGACACCGUCCAGACGCCUACGGGAGUCAGCGUUGGGGAAUAUUGCACGAUGGGCGCAAGCCUGAUGCAGCCAUGCCGCGUGUAUGAAGAAGGCCUUCGGGUGGUAAAGUACUUUCAUCGAGGAGGCGGUACUCGCAGAAGAAGCCCCGGCUAACUCCGUGCCAGCAGCCGCGGUAAUAC
rnacentral:rRNA from 1 species